UAAGAGUAGAGCUACCUACCUAAUCCAGCUCCUAUCUGUAGCCACUUGUCUCUCUCAUCAACUUGGUCAAAUCUUUCCAUUCUGUCAUUUCCCUUUCUUUCCUUUUCCUUCCUUCCCUUUCCUCCCCUACUCCCCCCCUUUUCCAUCCCUGCAUAUAAAAUCCCCCCUCUCCCCAGUCCCAUCCAUUCCUGCCAAACUCUUCCUCCCCUCUCUCUGCAUUUUCCAACAGAACCAAACCCAUUAUUUUAAAGCUAUAAUCCUCCAAGCUCAGUACUGAUAUCCUGCCAUGGGACGCUCCCCUUGCUGUGAGAAAGCUCAUACCAACAAAGGAGCCUGGACCAAAGAGGAAGACCAACGCCUCAUCGAGUACAUCCGCAUCCAUGGCGAAGGCUGCUGGCGUUCCCUCCCUAAAGCUGCUGGUAUCUCACCUACGCACCACCAUAACUCUCUGCAUAUGGUUAUAUCUAUCUGUUUGUGUAAAGUUUUAUUAUUAUUUUUUUUAUAUUUGGGUUUUGUAGGAUUGCUUAGAUGUGGCAAAAGU
rnacentral:misc_RNA from 1 species